GAUGAACGCUGGCGGCGUGCCUAAUACAUACAAGUCGAGCGAACGGACGAGAAGCUUGCUUCUCUGAUGUUAGCGGCGGACGGGUGAGUAAUACGUGGAUAACUUACCUAUAAGAAUGGGAUAACUUAGGGAAACCGGAGCUAAUAUAGGAUAAUAUUUUGAACCGCAUGGUUCAAAAGAGAAAGAGGGUUUUGAUGUCACUUAUAGAUGGUACCGCGCUGCAUUAGCUAGUUGGUAAGGUAACGGCUUACCAAGGCAACGAUGCGUAGCCGACCUGAGAGGAUGAUCAGCCACACUGGAACUGAGACACGGUCCAGACUCCUACGGGAGGCAGCAGUAGGGAAUCUUCCGCAAUGGGCGAAAGCCUGACGGAGCCACGCCGCGUGUGUGAUGAAGGUCUUCGGAUCGUAAAACUCUGUUAUUUGGGAAGAACAUAUGUAUGAUUAUCUGUUCACGUCUUGACGUUACCUAAUCAGAAAGCCACGGCUAACUACGUG
rnacentral:rRNA from 1 species